rnacentral:rRNA from 1 species
UACGUAGGGGGCGAGCGUUGUCCGGAAUUACUGGGCGUAAAGAGCUCGUAGGUGGUUUGUCGAGUCGUAUGUGAAAUUCCGGGGCUUAACUCCGGGCGGGCAGGGGAUACGGGGAAACUGGAGUGCUGUAGGGGAGACCGGAAUUCCUGGUGUAGCGGUGAAAUGCGCAGAUAUCAGGAGGAACACCGGUGGCGAAGGCGGGUCUCUGGGCUGUAACUGACGCUGAGGAGCGAAAGCGUGGGGAGCGAACAGG